rnacentral:sRNA from 1 species
GACUGUCAGUAUAUAUUUUUCUUCUCUUUUUCUGCUGCUCUCACUGUCUCUCUUUAUUUUUUUUCUUUUAUGAUCUUCUUCAGUACUCUCUUCUCUCUCCUCUUUUCUUCCCCUCUUCUCAGACUUGUGCUGGGUCACAUGACUGCAAUAUGUCACAGAUGACACAGUCUUUUCUUCACUUUUUUUUUUAUCUUUCUUUUCAGUACACUCACUUUUCUUCUUUUCUUUUGUCUAUCUCAUUUAUUUUUUUUCUAUUGUUGGAAGUGCAGACAGUUCUCAGAUCAACUGAGGGAGCUAUUUCUCUCUAUUCACUAUAAAGUCUUUCAGAUACAGCAGUAACAGUUCUCUUGAAAAUCACACUAUAGCUUCAUCAUAAAUGAUUAUACAUUGAGUCAGAAGUAAAUGCACAGCUUGAAAAAAUCCUUUUCAAUGAGCUGAGUCUUUUCAAGAGUUGUCAUCUGAAUUCUGUUUUCUCUUUCUCUGUGUAUAUAGAAAUCUCUUCAGUGUAGUAUGUCUUCAUACUCUUCAGAAGGCUUCUGAAACACAGAUGCUGUCUGUGUCUUCUCUGAGAUGUUAAAUUAAUACAAACAAACAAACAAACAAACAA